rnacentral:rRNA from 1 species
CACUUCUAAGGAAGGCAGCAGGCGCGCAAAUUACCCAAUCCUGACUCAGGGAGGUAGUGACAAGAAAUAACAAUAAACCGGCUUAUGCCGGUUUAAUUGGAAUGAGUACAAUUUAAACAUCUUAACGAGGAACAAUUGGAGGGCAAGUCUGGUGCCAGCAGCCGCGGUAAUUCCAGCUCCAAUAGCGUAUACUAAAGUUGUUGCAGUUAAAAAGCUCGUAGUUGGAUUUCUGUGGGGACGGAGCGGCCGGCCGCAACACGCGGUUCGAGCUAGCGCUUUCCCUACAUCCUGCCGCGAACCGUGCUACCAUUAAUUUGGUGGCGCCGGGGAUCGGCUCGAUUACUUUGAGAAAAAUAGAGUGUUCAAAGCAGGCCACACGCCUUGAAUAAGUUAGCAUGGAAUAAUAACUAAGGACUUCGGUUCUAUUUUGUUGGUGUUCGGGACUGAAGUAAUGAUUGAUAGGGACAGUUGGGGCGGUCUGUAUUCCAAAGCGAGAGGUGAAAUUCUUAGACCUUCGGAAGACAAACAGCUGCGAAAGCGUUCCGCAAGGAUGUUCCCUUUGAUCAAGAACGAAAGUUGGGGGAUCGAAGACGAUCAGAUACCGUCGUAGUCUCAACUAUAAACUAUACCAGCUAGGGAUCGGCCAACGUUAUUUAAACCGACUUGGUCGGCACCUUAUGAGAAAUCAAAGCAUCUGGGUUCCGGGGGGAGUAUGGUCGCAAGGCUGAAACUUAAAGGAAUUGACGGAAGGGCACCACCAGCCGUGGAGCCUGUGGCUUAAUUUGACUCAACACGGGAAAACUUACCAGGUCCAGACAUAGUAAGGAUUGACAGAUUGAUAGCUCUUUCUUGAUUCUGUGGGUGGUGGUGCAUGGCCGUUCUUAGUUGGUGGAGUGAUUUGUCUGGUUAAUUCCGUUAACGAACGAGACCCCAGCCUGCUAAAUAGCGCGCGUGAGCUUUGCUCGCGGCGAGCUUCUUAGAGGGACUAUGAUGCGCGAUAGCACAUGGAAGUUUGGGGCAAUAACAGGUCUGUGAUGCCCUUAGAUGUUCUGGGCCGCACACGGGCUACACUGGCGCCUGCAACGAGCAUAUCAGCUGGCCCGAGAGGGUCUUGGCUAAUCUUUUGAACCGGCGCCGUGCUUGGGAUUGACCUUUGCAAUUGUUGGUCAUGCAACGAGGAAUGCCUUGUAAACGCGAGUCAUCAGCUCGCAUUGAAUACGUCCCUGCCCUUUGUACACACCGCCCGUCGCUCCUACCGAUGAAUGUUCCGAUGAAAUUUUCGGAGAGUGCCUGUGAACUUGGCUCUGCCUUGCGAACGGGAAGCUCAAAGUCACUUAAAUCUGAACAUUUC